rnacentral:rRNA from 1 species
GAUGAACGCUGGCGGCGUGCCUAAUACAUGCAAGUCGAGCGAACGGACGAGAAGCUUGCUUCUCUGAUGUUAGCGGCGGACGGGUGAGUAACACGUGUAUAACCUACCUAUAAGACUGGGAUAACUUCGGGAAACCGGAGCUAAUACCGGAUAAUAUUUUGAACCGCAUGGUUCAAAAGUGAAAGACGGUCUUUCUGUCUCUUAUAGAUGCAUCCGCGCUGCAUUAGCUAGUUGGUAAGGUAACGGCUUACCAAGGCAACGAUGCAUAGCCGACCUGAGAGGGGGAUCGGCCGCACGAGAACGGGAACACGGACCAGGGUCCUACGGGAGGGCGCAGUAGGGAAUCGUCCGCAAUGGGGGGAAGCCUGACGGAACAACGCCGCGUGAGAGGUGGAGGUGUUGGGAUCGGAAAAACCUGUUAUUAGGGAAGAACAUAUGUGUAAGUAACUGUGCACAUCUUGACGGUACCUAAUCAGAAAGCCACGGCUAACUACGUG